GAUUAAGCAAAAAAGAGCGCAGGGUGGAUGCCUUGGCACUAAGAGCCGAAGAAAGACGUGAUAAGCUGCGAAAAGCUGCGGGGAGAUGCAAAUAAUCCUUGAUCCGCAGAUGUCUGAAUGGGGAAACCCGGUACGAAGAACUCGUAUCAUCCAUACGCCAAUCCAUAACGUAUGGAGGGGAACCCGGUGAACUGAAACAUCUAAGUAGCCGGAGGAAGAGAAAGAAACAUCGAUUUUGUUAGUAGCGGCGAGCGAAAGCGAAAGAGGCCAAACCGGAGUGCGUGCACUCCGGGGUUCGGACCGCAUUUAAGAUUCAGUGAUUCUAGCAGAAAGGUUUGGGAAAGCCUGCCGGAGAGGGUGAAAGCCCCGUAAGCGAAAGGAGA
rnacentral:rRNA from 1 species